rnacentral:rRNA from 1 species
UACGGAGGGUGCAAGCGUUAUCCGGAUUCACUGGGUUUAAAGGGUGUGUAGGCGGAUAUUUAAGUCAGUGGUGAAAUCUCCAGGCUCAACCUGGAAACUGCCAUUGAUACUAUUUAUCUUGAAUUCUGUUGAGGUGGGCGGAAUACAUCAUGUAGCGGUGAAAUGCUUAGAUAUGAUGUAGAACACCGAUUGCGAAGGCAGCUCACUAAGCAGACAUUGACGCUGAGGCACGAAAGCGUGGGGAUCAAAC